rnacentral:lncRNA from 1 species
UGCCUGUCCUAAGUUAAUAGCCUAUAAAUUAGUGGUGGUCUUUGUUUAAAUAGUAUAAAUUCAGUUGUUGAUUUUCACAUUUUUGAUGCAGGAGCCUUUUAAUAUAGAUCACUACACUGUGCAGGUUUUGCUCAUUGUUGAAGGCAGAAGGUGACCUUUACAUGUACAUAGUAGUUGCUUGCAUCCACAGACACUUCACUGAUGACUCUCAUUG